CUCAUGAGAGAAUGGGGGAAUCUCGUUUAAUCAACGCAGAAUAUUUCUUUGCCUUGGUCAAACAACACAGAAAUGUUGGAGUGCUAUCAGUUCAAGAAUGCAAGACAUGAUGUCAUGGUCAGAGAGAAGUUCACUGUGAUUUUAUCCUGAGCCACACCUACUUAAAAGGCAGACACCAGGAGCCUUGGGCUGAAAAUACAACUGCAAGUUUCAAGACACUUUUAAGGAAGGUUUCAGAGUGACCACUCUAAAGCACCUAGGAUCCUAGCAGCCUGGAGUUCAGAGGCUGUUAUAUGUUAUGGGCUCAUUGGAACACCACAGCCAUGCUCCCUCAUGCCCCUGGCACACCUCGUCUGAUGGGGUGGACUAAGAGGGGACACUCUUUGGAGCAAGUUACAUC